UGCACCGCAUAUAGAAUAAUGACUGACUACCAAACACUGAUCAGCCACAACUCUAAAACCACUGACAGGUGAAGUGAAUAACAUUGAUUAUAUUGUUACAAUGGCACCUGUCAAGCAAGGUGGGAUAUAUGAGGCAGAAGUAAACAGUCAAUUCUUGAAUUUCAUAUGUUGGAAGCAUGAAAAAAUGGGCAAACGAAAAUACCUGAGUGACUUUGACAAGGGCCAAGUAAUGAUGGCUAGACGACUGGGUCAGAGCAUCUCGAACACUGCCGUCUUGGG